UAGACCAAAACAAUACUCCUUAUGGCGAAACAAAUGUUAGGGACAACAAUACAACAAUGACAAAUGAAACUAGGAGCUAAAUAUGAUAAGAAUCUACACAACUCCUUAAAUUUAAACUAAACAAAUUCCUUUAUGCUUAUUGAAAGACACAGUAAUCCAACCUAGAUGAGAACAAAUUAAACUAAACAAGCAUAACAAGAGGUUGAAGCUCA
rnacentral:lncRNA from 1 species